rnacentral:rRNA from 1 species
UACGAAGGGGGCUAGCGUUGCUCGGAAUCACUGGGCGUAAAGGGUGCGUAGGCGGGUCUUAAGUCAGGGGUGAAAUCCUGGAGCUCAACUCCAGAACUGCCUUUGAUACUGAGGAUCUUGAGUUCGGGAGAGGUGAGUGGAACUGCGAGUGUAGAGGUGAAAUUCGUAGAUAUUCGCAAGAACACCAGUGGCGAAGGCGGCCUUCUGGACCAGCACUGACACUCAAGCACGAAAGCGUGGGGAGCAAACAGGG